GAUGAACGCUAGCGGCAGGCUUAAUACAUGCAAGUCGUGGGGCAGCAGGGGUGUAGCAAUACAUCUGCUGGCGACCGGCAAACGGGCGCGUAACACGUACGCAACCUUCCCGUUACUGUGGCAUAGCCCAGGGAAACUUGGAUUAAUACCACAUAUUAUAUUGAGGGGGCAUCCCUUUGAUAUCAAAGCUUCGGCGGUAACGGAUGGGCGUGCGGUUGAUUAGGUAGUUGGCGGGGUAACGGCCCACCAAGCCUACGAUCAAUAGCUGCUGUGAGAGCAUGAUCAGCCACACGGGCACUGAGACACGGGCCCGACUCCUACGGGAGGCAGCAGUAAGGAAUAUUGGGCAAUGGACGAAAGUCUGACCCAGCCAUGCCGCGUGAAGGAUUAAGGUCCUCUGGAUUGUAAACUUCUUUUCUCUGGGGCGAAAACCAGCUAUUCUUAGCUAUUUGACAGUACCAGAGGAAUAAGCACCGGCUAACUCCGUGCCAGCAGCCGCCGUAAGAC
rnacentral:rRNA from 1 species